GAUGAACGCUGGCGGCAUGCCUAAUACAUGCAAGUCGAGCGGACGGACGCGGAGCUGGCUUCUCGGAUGUUAGCGGCGGACGUGUUAGUAACACGUGGAUAACCUAGCUAUGAAACUCGGAUAACUUCGGUAGACCGUAGCUAAUACCGGAUAAUAUUUUAAACCGCAUGGUUCAAAACUGAAAGACGUUCUUGCUGUCACUUAUAGAUGGAUCCGGGCUGCAUUAGGUAGUUCGUAAGGUAACGGCUUACCAAGGCAACGAGGCGUAGCCGACCUGAGAGGGUGAUCGGCCACACUGGGACUGAGACACGGUCCAGACUCCUACGGGAGGCAGCAGUAGGGAAUUUUCCACAAUGGGCGAAAGCCUGACCGAGCAAUGCCGCGUGAGUGAUGAAGGUCUUCGGAUCGUAAAAUUCUGUUAUUAGGGACGAACCUAUGUGUAAGAAACUGUGGAAAUAAUGACGGUACCUAAUCAAAAAGCCCCGGCUAACUACGUG
rnacentral:rRNA from 1 species